rnacentral:rRNA from 1 species
GAUGAACGCUAGCGGCAAGCCUAACACAUGCAAGUCGAACGGUAACUUUUGGUGCUUGCACCGAAGGACGAGUGGCGAACGGGUGCGUAACGCGUAUGCAAUCUGCCUUUUACUAGGGUAUAGCCCAGAGAAAUUUGGAUUAAUCCCCUAUAAUAUCAUUUAAUCGCAUGAUUUUAUGAUUAAAGCUUCGGCGGUAAAAGAUGAGCAUGCGUCCUAUUAGUUAGUAGGUGAGGUAACGGCUCACCUAGACUCCGAUAGGUAGGGGUCCUGAGAGGGAGAUCCCCCACACUGGUACUGAGACACGGACCAGACUCCUACGGGAGGCAGCAGUGAGGAAUAUUGGACAAUGGACGAAAGUCUGAUCCAGCUAUGCCGCGUGCAGGAUGACGGCCCUAUGGGUUGUAAACUGCUUUUAUACAGGAAGAAAAACUCCGACGUGUCGGAACUUGACGGUACUGUAAGAAUAAGGAUCGGCUAACUCCGUG